GUACUAGAAUUUCAUGCCAUCGAAUAAUUACACAAAUUACGAAACAAUUAGUCAACAGCUAUUAUGAAUGUCCUUGAAAGUCCCCUUUUACAUAUACACCAAUUCAAACCCCAUGACAUCCAAGUAACUAAGCCAUAACUUGUUCUAUGUUGCAAACCAAAGAUAAUUCUAGAACAUAGAACUUAGCAAGUGCACCCAACAAUAAGGUGAUUAUAAACCUAUUCAUACUCUAUUCAACCAUAAAUAUACCUCGAACAAGCUAUCUCCGAACUAAAUGAUAUACAUUAUGCAUGAAAUGGAAGAAACAGAAGUGAGAAUUCAAUAGCAACCAUCAUCCAAUUUGUUCACAUUUCAGAACCAAGCUUCAAGCUACUUUUAAGUGGUGUCCAUGGAAUUGAUAAAUACCUGGAAGUAAAUAUGAAAUGAAAGGGUGAGGAUUUCAGCAGUAACAACAGCAGAAUUGAGUUCAUAUCCAAGGAAAGAGUGCCACAGAUCAGUUCAAAUCGUGAAAUGCAACCAAGGAUCCAAUUUCGGAUUCACAGUAAAACCAACAAACUCGACAUCCAAGAUAAAUGACUGAAACUCAAACUAUUUCUAAAUCCAAACAGUUAAGAAAUUGAUUCAAGGAGAGAAAUUUCAGAUUAGCAAAUUCAAACUCAAUGGAACAGUGCUAAUAUUUUCAGCUAUUUUCAGAUUUUUUCUUCAUUUUUUUUCGGAUUUUUCUCUUAGUCUCCCUCUUUUUGGUCUAUUUGUUCUCCUUAUUUCCUUCUCAGAAUGUUCUCCUUUCAAUCUUUUUCGCUCUCCAACUCUCUUCUCCCUUUAUAAAUCAGUGAGUGUCCCCCUCUUAAGGUGUAUUCAGUCCUUUCUUAAUUCUGUUCCUCCCCCCUCCCCCCUUUCCAGACUGUAUACCCUUUUACACCUGUAUCUUUUAGCCUUUUAAUUAUAUCCCCCAUGUUCUCUGAUUUCCAGCUCCUAAAGGGGCAUUAAGCUAGCCAUUACCAGUCCUCUUUUCCUUUUUAAUUCAUUCCUCUACUUAGUGCUUAUAAUUAAUUCAGUAGUGCAUUUCUUAGACCCUACCACUAUUGAGAAGCCCUCUAAUUAAUUAUUGACAGGUUUCCCUGCCCAAAUUACCCUCAAGGCUUCUGUUAUUCAUCCCCCCUAAGUUCCGAAGUACCACAAUUAUAGUAAACAAAAGACUAAAACUUUUAACUAGAUUGAAAAAUCAAAAUCACUAUUAAAUUAAAUAACGACAUACAUGAAUAUGCACCAAAGACAAUCGAAUGGACAGUUCACAAUUUUAAACCUAAUUCAAACCUAAAAAGAGAAGAAGACGGGGCAGAAGUGGAAUAAUAACAAGAGAAGAAAAGAAGUAGUACUGGAUACUCACCAACUCAACGGGUUCAUUUGGCACUUGAAUUUUUUCCGACUUCAUCGCCAAAUGAUGUUAGUCAUUUGUUCUUUGUUAGAACAAAUGAUUAACACCAUUUUGUGACGAAAUCGGCCCUGAAAUCAUCAACAAUUCUUGUCUUUAACUCUGACUUUUAGAAUCGCAACUCAAGAUUUGAAAUUUGACCUAUUUUAGACAAAUUUGAGGUAAACCAGAUAUGUAUUGGGUAUGAGGAGGUCAAGGAGGUUAUGGGGUGUCAAUUUGGGGUCGAUUGGAUAAACUAGGGUUCGGGGUUCAAAUUUCGAUCAAAAAUUCGACGAUUUCGACCGUGAUUCGAAAGGAACGGUUUGAGGAUUUGAGAUAAUGAGGUUAAGGAGAAUCACUGGUGUUAAUUUGGGGUUGUUUGGGCCACCAAAACCGCCGUGAGGCGAUUUUCGGUGGGCAGAAAAGGGCGACGUGCGGUAGUGCAUGUUCUUGGUCUCUAAAGAGACGAGUGGGGGGUGUUUGGUAUAUUAAAAUGGGGAAUUAACCGGGGCCGUUAGAUUAGAAGGGAUCGACGAUCCAGAUUGAUCAAGGGGAAAAUGGGGUCGUUUGGUGGCUAAGUGGGUGGUCCGGGUAUGGGAAUGGGUCGAGUUGUGGGAAAGGUUUGGGACCGUUCGAUCAGGCUGAUUCAACGGCCCAGAUUAGAGCAUGUCCAAACGACGUCAUUUUGGUUGAGGUUGGAGACGGACCGGGUUGGGGGAGACGGGUCUGGGCUGGUUUGGGGUGUAUUUGAUUUGGGCUUUGGUGGUUAAAUUGAGUUUGGCCCAAUUUGAUUUCCUUUUCUU
rnacentral:lncRNA from 1 species